GUGCCAGCAGCCGCGGUAAUACGGAGGGUGCAAACGUUGCUCGGAAUCAUUGGGCGUAAAGCGCACGUAGGCGGCGAAGCAAGUUGGGUGUGAAAGCCCUGGGCUCAACCCAGGAAGUGCAUUCAAAACUGCUUCGCUUGAAUCUCGGAGGGGGUCAGAGAAUUCCCGGUGUAGAGGUGAAAUUCGUAGAUAUCGGGAGGAAUACCAGUGGCGAAGGCGCUGACCUGGACGAAGAUUGACGCUGAGGUGCGAAAGCGCGGGGAGCAAACAGGAUUAGAUACCCUGGUAGUCCGCGCUGUAAACGAUGAGUGCUAGACGGUGGAGGUAUUGACCCCUUCGCUGCCGAAGCUAACGCGUUAAGCACUCCGCCUGGGGAGUACGGUCGCAAGACUAAA
rnacentral:rRNA from 1 species